rfam:Triticum aestivum genome assembly, contig: Triticum_aestivum_CS42_TGACv1_scaffold_002419_1AL
AUGAUACUCCCUCUGUACCAAAUUAGUUAUCUUAAAUUUGUCUAGAUACGGAUGUAUGUAGACACAUUUUAGUGUUAGGUACAUCCGUAUCUAGACAAAUCUAAGACAAGUAAUUUGGGACGAAGGUAAUAGGAU